rnacentral:rRNA from 1 species
GCAUAUCAAUAAGCGGAGGAAAAGAAACCAACAGGGAUUGCCUCAGUAACGGCGAGUGAAGCGGCAACAGCUCAAAUUUGAAAUCUGGCCGCAAGGUCCGAGUUGUAAUUUGUAGAGGAUGCUUUUGGCGAGGUGACUUCCGAGUUCCCUGGAACGGGACGCCAUAGAGGGUGAGAGCCCCGUACGGUCGUGCCACCGAGCCUCUGUAAAGCUCCUUCGACGAGUCGAGUAGUUUGGGAAUGCUGCUCUAAAUGGGAGGUGUACGUCUUCUAAAGCUAAAUACCGGCCAGAGACCGAUAGCGCACAAGUAGAGUGAUCGAAAGAUGAAAAGCACUUUGAAAAGAGGGUUAAAAAGUACGUGAAAUUGUUGAAAGGGAAGCAUUCAUGACCAGACUUGGGCUUGGUUGAACAUCCGGCGUUCUCGCCGGUGCACUCUGCCAGCUCAGGCCAGCAUCAGUUUGCCCCGGGGGAUAAAGGCGGUGGGAAUGUAGCUCCCUUCGGGGAGUGUUAUAGCCCGCCGUGUAAUGCCCUGGGGUGGACUGAGGUUCGCGCUUCGGCACGGAUGCUGGCGUAAUGGUCAUCAAUGACCCGUCUUGAAACACGGACC